UGUCUUCUUUCCAUGGUACAAUGCAUUUGUACCUACUGACCAAGUCACUCUUUACACAUCAUCCAAGUUCACUUUCUAUGUCAACAGAAGCUGAGUUUUGGUCAAUGAGCAAGGAAUACUUCUUGUGAUUUGUUUCCGUACAGAAUUUGCUUGAUGUUGAUGCCCAUAGAACAUCAAAGCUACGUGUGGGUUCCAAAAGUGCUAGGCUUGUUGAUCUAAGGCCAUUGACUAAUAGUUGGGUACAAAAUGCAACUUCUAUAGUUUUCUUUUCUUUUGUUUAUUUAUAUGCAUGUUGGUUUUAUGGAAGUUGAAAUCUUGAAAAUGUUGGUAUAGCUAUUGUAGGAAAAAACCUUGAAAAGUUAAUAAUGAUUUUGAGGCAUCAUGUUGGUUUUUGCUACAACAUCUGCCAUCAUGGCAGGCAGGUGGACUAUUAGAAACAGCAUAAUGGGACCCUUGUGAUGGAUGGUCCGAUCCCAUACCUUUAUGCGACCAUUCAGACGUGUGUAGGCUUAGUGAAGCUCCUUUUUUCUUGUAAUAUGGCUUUUCUUUCUUUCUUUUUUUUCAUUCUUUUUUCUUCUUCUUCUGCCCCUCUCUCGCCCAUGUCUCCAAUAAUAGUCUAAGUAAAAUCCUUUUAAUGUUGAUGCAGAUUUACUUGUAGCAAUCUGCUCCAACUACAACUAGAUCGAACACUGAGCUCUAAUUUUUCAAUCAAAUGUUGCCGCAACACACAUCAUCUUGAUUUUGGUAAAGAGAUUGCAUGGUGGGGACCACCUAUGAACACAGAUAAAGUACUAGCUUCUAUAUCUAGUCUUCUUUUUUCAUGUACAUCACAAAUUGUGUUAUCUGUGUUUUAGGGGUCAUUUGGCAACCUAGAAUUUAGAAAUUACUAAAGAAUUUAUUUUCAGGAAACAAAUUCUCUGAUGUAAUUAGACGUUCACCAAUCAGCCACUUAGGAAAUCAAAUUUUUUGCAAAAGCAGAUGACACAUCAUCUGCUGUUAACCUUGCUUGUAAUCUCCUUCCAUCUACUGAUGAAUCAAGCAGUUGACUAUAAUCUUUACACCAAUAACAUUAUUAUAUAUUAAAAAAAUCAUUUUUUAAUCUUUUUGUAAUACAGUCAUCCA